rnacentral:tRNA from 1 species
UCCCUGGCGGUCUAGUGGUUAUGACUCAGUGUUUUCAACUCUGUGGCCUGGGUUCAAACCUAGUCUGGGAA